UACGGAGGGGGCUAGCGUUGUUCGGAAUUACUGGGCGUAAAGCGCACGUAGGCGGAUUGUUAAGUCAGGGGUGAAAUCCUGGAGCUCAACUCCAGAACUGCCUUUGAUACUGGCGAUCUUGAGUUCGGGAGAGGUGAGUGGAACUGCGAGUGUAGAGGUGAAAUUCGUAGAUAUUCGCAAGAACACCAGUGGCGAAGGCGGCUCACUGGCCCGAUACUGACGCUGAGGUGCGAAAGCGUGGGGAGCAAACAGG
rnacentral:rRNA from 1 species